AGGGUUUGAUCCUGGCUCAGAUUGAACGCUGGCGGCAUGCUUUACACAUGCAAGUCGAACGGUAACAGGCCGCAAGGUGCUGACGAGUGGCGAACGGGUGAGUAAUGCAUCGGAACGUGCCCAGUCGUGGGGGAUAACGCAGCGAAAGCUGUGCUAAUACCGCAUACGAUCUAUGGAUGAAAGCGGGGGACCGUAAGGCCUCGCGCGAUUGGAGCGGCCGAUGUCAGAUUAGCUAGUUGGUGGGGUAAGGGCCCACCAAGGCGACGAUCUGUAGCUGGUCUGAGAGGACGACCAGCCACACUGGGACUGAGACACGGCCCAGACUCCUACGGGAGGCAGCAGUGGGGAAUUUUGGACAAUGGGCGCAAGCCUGAUCCAGCAAUGCCGCGUGCAGGAAGAAGGCCUUCGGGUUGUAAACUGCUUUUGUACGGAACGAAACGGUCCUGGUUAAUACCUGGGGCUAAUGACGGUACCGUAAGAAUAAGCACCGGCUAACUACGUGCCAGCAGCCGCGGUAAUACGUAGGGUGCAAGCGUUAAUCGGAAUUACUGGGCGU
rnacentral:rRNA from 1 species